rnacentral:rRNA from 1 species
GACGAACGCUGGCGGCGUGCUUAACACAUGCAAGUCGAACGGAAAGGCCCUGCUUGCAGGGUACUCGAGUGGCGAACGGGUGAGUAACACGUGGGUGAUCUGCCCUGCACUUCGGGAUAAGCUUGGGAAACUGGGUCUAAUACCGGAUAGGAGCCAUCUUUAGUGUGGUGGUUGGAAAGUUUUUUCGGUGUAGGAUGAGCUCGCGGCCUAUCAGCUUGUUGGUGGGGUAAUGGCCUACCAAGGCGGCGACGGGUAGCCGGCCUGAGAGGGUGUACGGCCACAUUGGGACUGGGAUACGGCCCAGACUCCUACGGGAGGCAGCAGUGGGGAAGAUUGCACAAUGGGCGCAAGCCUGAUGCAGCGACGCCGCGGGGGGGAUGAAGGCCUUCGGGUUGUAAACUCCUUUCGCUAGGGACGAAGCUUUGUGUGACGGUACCUAGAUAAGAAGCACCGGCUAACUACGUG